UGAGGCUGUUUCGCUGUGUUGAAGGUGGUUUUGACUCAUUUAACUGCCAUGCUGGCAAGCGAAUCAUUUCUCACUCUCUUCUUAUCCUGAGUUCUUCUACGGCGAACCCGACAGCAACCUAGUUCGUCGCCGCCACCACCCGCAGUCCAAUCUGCCAGCUUCCUUGUCAAAUCCGCCGCGCUUCCUGCUCAUUUCAAUCCCUCCGCAUCGACCCUGAAGCUCGCAGCAGCUGCUUCCAGUCAGUUCCGCUGCCGCCGGUGAAUCUGCAAUGUCGUGGACCUCCGGAUCCUCUACCAGGUCGAUGCUCUAUGAGGAUCAGUGGGAGAGAGAUGGAAUCGACCCCUGCAGAAGAGAAUUGGGCGGGGGCGAGAGGGAAACUGGUCUGCUUAACCGCUGCUGCCGCCAAGCAUCUUCCUCUUCACCUUCCUCUUCUCUCUCCUGCACCACCCUCCCCUUCUCCCACUCGCGCCGCCCCUCUGCGCCUCCCUCUCGCUCGCCCCUCUGCUCCCCCUCUCGAGAAAGACCUGCCACGAGCCGCGGGAGGUGGCGCCAGUCUGGACUCUGGAGGUGGGUCUUGACUGCGUUGAUCGGGAGCAGAGCCGCGUAGGUGAAGGCCCUCGCCGCGGUGCCCGUGGACGACGGCAUCUCCGCUCACCGCCGGUGCCGUUGCCGCCCGCAUGCUGAGAAUAAGAGGAGUCGGGUUCGGGGAGGGGGAUACAUCAAUGACUUGUGCCAUGUGGCAGUGCCACCGUGGCAGUCAACGGGUCAAAACCACCUUCAACACAGCGAAACCGCCGGAUACAGGCAGAGGGGGGUCGAGUGCACGGUUUUGAAAGUUCAGGGGGGUAAAAUACCCGGUUUCAAAAUUUAGGGUGUUUUUUGGACUUGCGAUAAGUUCAGAGGGAUAAAAUGGACUUAUUUCUUUUAAAAAUGAUUUUUUGAAGUGGUGUAAAUUCCUUAUUGGAAAUGGUCAAAAUACUAGAUUUUGGGAAGAUUGGUGGAUUGGAGGGAAACCUCUGAUGUACCAAUAUCCAGAUCUCUAUGAAAUUUGUUUUAGUAGGAAUGUUUCUGUAGCAACUGUUGUGGCCAAGAAAGGCAUAACCAUCUUCAGACGCACCUUGUGGGAGGUUCUGUAUUCUGAUAGGGAGAACAUUAUUGCUGCUUGUGCCAGAGUUAGACUUACUUCCUCUGAUGAUAAAUUUGGUGGACUCCCUGUCAGAAAGGGCAGUUCACUGUCAGCUCCUACUACAAGAAGCUGAUGUGGGGUAAUAUUUAUUAUUGAUUUCCCUCAAAAAUUCCUAUAGAAAAUUAAAAUCCCGCUGAAAAUUAGGAUAUUUUUAUGGUUGAUUGCCCAUAAAAGUAUUUUGACCAAGGAUGUACUAACUCAUAGGGGAUGGGAAGAGGACACUAAAUGCCAGUUUUGUGGGAUGGAAGAGUCAAUUGAUCACUUAUUCCUUCAUUGUUCGUUGGCAAGAUUUAUUUGGAAUGUUCUUAAAUGUGCUUUCGAUCUUCCUGUUCUGCCAAAUUCUGUGGAAGAACUAUGGUUGACUUGGCUGCCUGCUUUCUCAGGCAAUUCAAAAAAACUUGUUAUGGUUGGAGUGGCUGGCCUGUUAUGGGUGCUGUGGAAUACCAGAAACAGGGCCUGCUUCUCAAAUGUUAGAAUUACUUCCCUUUUUGGGGUAAUCAAACUGCUGUGCUAUUGGCUUAAUCUCUGGUCGAUUUUGCAAACAAGGG